rnacentral:miRNA from 1 species
ACCCUUCCUCCCAGACCCUCCCACCUCCUGGACAGCUCACUAAGAAUGCAGCUUCACAAUGGAUGCUGUCCAGGAGGUGGGAGGGUCUGGGAGGGAGGGUC